rnacentral:rRNA from 1 species
AGCGAACGCUGGCGGCAGGCCUAACACAUGCAAGUCGAACGAACUCUUCGGAGUUAGUGGCGGACGGGUGAGUGACACGUGGGAACGUGCCUUUAGGUUCGGAAUAACUCAGGGAAUCUUGUGCUAAUACCGAAUGUGCCCUUCGGGGGAAAGAUUUAUCGCCUUUAGAGCGGCCCGCGUCUGAUUAGCUAGUUGGUGAGGUAAAGGCUCACCAAGGCGACGAUCAGUAGCUGGUCUGAGAGGAUGAUCAGCCACAUUGGGACUGAGACACGGCCCAAACUCCUACGGGAGGCAGCAGUGGGGAAUCUUGCGCAAUGGGCGAAAGCCUGACGCAGCCAUGCCGCGUGAAUGAUGAAGGUCUUAGGAUUGUAAAAUUCUUUCACCGGGGACGAUAAUGACGGUACCCGGAGAAGAAGCCCCGGCUAACUUCGUGCCAGCCGCCGCGGUAA